CGCGGCCUAUCAGCUUGUUGGUGGGGUAACGGCCUACCAAGGCGACGACGGGUAGCUGGUCUGAGAGGACGAUCAGCCACACUGGGACUGAGACACGGCCCAGACUCCUACGGGAGGCAGCAGUAGGGAAUCUUGCACAAUGGGCGAAGGCCUGAUGCAGCAACGCCGCGUGGGGGAUGAAUGCCCUCGGGUUGUAAACCCCUUUCAGCAGGGACGAAACUGACGGUACCUGCAGAAGAAGCUCCGGCCAACUACGUGCCAGCAGCCGCGGUAACACGUAGGGGGCGAGCGUUGUCCGGAUUUAUUGGGCGUAAAGAGCUCGUAGGCGGCUCAGUUAGUCGGGUGUGAAACCCCCGGGCUCAACCCGGGGACGCCACCCGAUACUGCUGUGGCUAGAGUCCGGUAGGGGAGCGUGGAAUUCCUGGUGUAGCGGUGAAAUGCGCAGAUAUCAGGAGGAACACCAGCGGCGAAGGCGGCGCUCUGGGCCGGAACUGACGCUGAGGAGCGAAAGCGUGGGGAGCGAACAGGAUUAGAUACCCUGGUAGUCCACGCUGUAAACGUUGGGCACUAGGUGUGGGAUGUUAUCAACGCAUUCUGUGCCGCAGCUAACGCAUUAAGUGCCCCGCCUGGGGAGUACGG
rnacentral:rRNA from 1 species